GUCGAGAAUAAUUCACAAUGGACGAAAGUCUGAUGGUGCAACGCCGCGUGGAGGAUGACGGUCUUCGGAUUGUAAACUCCUGUCAUCCGGGAGUAAGACCUGGCUGUGAAUAGCAGACAGGGUUGAUAGUACCGGAAGAGGAAGGGACGGCUAACUUCGUGCCAGCAGCCGCGGUAAUACGAAGGUCCCGAGCGUUGUUCGGAAUCACUGGGCGUAAAGGGAGCGUAGGCGGCGUGGUAAGUCAGAUGUUAAAUCCCGGGGCUCAACCCAGGAACUGCAUCCGAUACUGCCGUGCUAGAGGAUUGGAGAGGUAGCUGGAAUUCUUGGUGUAGCAGUGAAAUGCGUGGAGAUCAAGAGGAACACUCGUGGCGAAAGCGAGCUACUGGACAAUAUCUGACGCUGAGGCUCGAAGGCCAGGGUAGCGAAAGGGAUUAGAUACCCCUGUAGUCC
rnacentral:rRNA from 1 species